UACGGGGGGGGCAAGCGUUGUUCGGAAUUACUGGGCGUAAAGGGCUUGUAGGUGGCCAACUAAGUCAGACGUGAAAUCCCCCGGCUUAACCGGGGAACUGCGUCUGAUACUGGAUGGCUAGAGAUUGGGAGAGGGACGCGGAAUUCCAGGUGUAGCGGUGAAAUGCGUAGAUAUCUGGAGGAAUACCGGUGGCGAAGGCGGCAUCCUGGACCGGCAUUGACGCUGAGGCGCGAAAGCGUGGGGAGCAAACAGG
rnacentral:rRNA from 1 species